rnacentral:rRNA from 1 species
GACGAACGCUGGCGGCGUGCCUAAUACAUGCAAGUCGAACGAAGCUGUUUUAACUGGUGCUUGCACCGACUUAAACAACUGAGUGGCGAACGGGUGAGUAACACGUGGGUAACCUGCCCCAAAGCGGGGGAUAACAUUUGGAAACAGAUGCUAAUACCGCAUAACCACAGAAACCACAUGGUUUCUGUGUCAAAGAUGGUUUCGGCUAUCACUUUGGGAUGGACCUGCGGGGGAUUAGCUAGUUGGUAAGGUAAUGGCUUACCAAGGCAAUGAUACGUAGCCGAACUGAGAGGUUGAUCGGCCACAUUGGGACUGAGACACGGCCCAACUCCUACGGGAGGCAGCAGUAGGGAAUCUUCCACAAUGGACGAAAGUCUGAUGGAGCAACGCCGCGUGAGUGAAGAAGGUUUUCGGAUCGUAAAACUCUGUUGUCAGAGAAGAACGUGUGCGAGAGUAACUGCUCGUGCAGUGACGGUAUCUGGCCAGAAAGCCACGGCUAACUACGUGCCAGCCGCCGCGGUAA